GACGAACGCUGGCGGCGUGCUUAACACAUGCAAGUCGAACGGAAAGGCCCUUCGGGGUACUCGAGUGGCGAACGGGUGAGUAACACGUGGGUGAUCUGCCCUGCACUUUGGGAUAAGCCUGGGAAACUGGGUCUAAUACCGAAUAGGACCACGCGCUUCAUGGUGUGUGGUGGAAAGCUUUUGCGGUGUGGGAUGGGCCCGCGGCCUAUCAGCUUGUUGGUGGGGUAAUGGCCUACCAAGGCGACGACGGGUAGCCGGCCUGAGAGGGUGACCGGCCACACUGGGACUGAGAUACGGCCCAGACUCCUACGGGAGGCAGCAGUGGGGAAUAUUGCACAAUGGGCGCAAGCCUGAUGCAGCGACGCCGCGUGGAUG
rnacentral:rRNA from 1 species